rnacentral:tRNA from 1 species
CAAAGUAUAGCUUAACUAAAGCACUUCGCUUACACCGAACCCAUGUCAGUGAAACUCUGGUUACUUUGA